rnacentral:lncRNA from 1 species
CUCAUGUCUGUCUGAUUACAAAUACUGCCCUUUAUCUACAUUCAUUUCCUUCUUCUUUUAUACCCUCAGAAAAAUCACUGCUAUCUAUCCCAGCUUUAGCUUCUGCCUCUACAAAAUGGAAGGUUGGACUAUUUCUCUUUUAAAGUUCCAAAUCUUUAUCCCAUGAUCAUUUAAGUCAUAAUAUGUGCACGUAUACACACAUAGAGACAUGCACACACACAAAUGGAAAUACAUAAAUGGUCAGGAUAAAGACAAAGAAUAAGAUGGCCCCUCCUGUUUGGGACACACAUCUCAGAGGCACUUGUUUCAUGGAUCUCCAAAGGUCUUCCUUCCUGCUUGUUAAAUUUACCUGGAUGCUGCCUGCAUAGAAAUAUGGGAAGUGGGAGUGAAAACCAACCUGGCCUAUAACACCACGUAUGUCUCUCUCUCCACCCUAGAGAGAUCCUGGUUCAGAUCUCUCUCCCACUGUGGUUUUUAUUUCUCUCAAAAUGGACAUUCACAAAGAGUAUUGAAAUUGUUGUCAGUCUCUUUCCUCCAUCAUUAUAAUUAUAUUAAGAAUUCAGUAGUUUGGGUGCCAGGGUUAGAACUAUGGGCCUGUAAUUGCUUUGGGUGAUUAAGAGUUAACAUUGCUGACCUCCCCAGAGGGAUCUUGCAGGGAAUUACCAAUUAGGGGCUGCCAGGCUCUUUGAAAGUAUUAACUGCAGAAGGAGUGCUUAAUAACAAUAAUAAUAAUUGUAUAUAUUUUGUAGGGCUCUGAGCCAUUUCUUACCAACGGAAACUUUCUUUGCCAGUGCAUGCAUCCCUGUAAUUAUUCAAAUUGAAGAUUUUUCCCUCCUCUCUCUCUCUCUCUCUCUCUCUCUCUCUCUCUCUCUCUCUCUCUCUCUCUCUCUCUCUCUCUCUCUCUCUCUCUCUCUGUCUCUCUCUCUCUCUCUCUCUCUUUCAUUCUCUCUCUCUCUUAUUCACCAUAGUCUCUCAGGUGGAAAAAGGACACAGCAAGUCGUCCCAGAGGGGACCAAAAUCAAUCCCAGCUGCUCAUUAAAAGACCCUCAUCUGAUUGGAAGGGUUCUUACCAGUAGGAGUGCUCUUCACUUCUACUCCAAGCUUGUAAACCAAGAGGCUCAAUGA